GACAGAGGAGCCAAGCGUUGUCCGGAUUGACUGGGCGUAAAGCGCACGCAGGCGGUGCGGCACGUGGGGUGUGAAAGCGGCCCGCUUAACGGGUCGAGGCCAUCCCAUACGGCCACACUCGAGAGUGGCAGAGGUUCGUGGAAUUGCCGGUGUAGUGGUGAAAUGCGUAGAGAUCGGCAGGAACACCAAGGGGGAAACCGAGCGAACUGG
rnacentral:rRNA from 1 species